CUAGUUGGUAGGGUAACGGCCUACCAAGGCUUUGAUCGUUAGCUGGUCUGAGAGGAUGGCCAGCCACACUGGAACUGAGACACGGUCCAGACUCCUACGGGAGGCAGCAGUGGGGAAUCUUGCACAAUGGGCGAAAGCCUGAUGCAGCGACGCCGCGUGGGGGAUGAAGCUUUUCGGAGUGUAAACCCCUUUCGAUCCGGACGAAUGCCUCGCAAGAGGAGUGACGGUACGGAUAUAAGAAGCCCCGGCUAACUACGUGCCAGCAGCCGCGGUAAUACGUAGGGGGCCAGCGUUGUUCGGAAUUACUGGGUGUAAAGGGUUCGUAGGCGGUGCGGCAAGUUGGGAGUGAAAUCUCUGGGCUCAACCCAGAGACGGCUUCCAAAACUGCCGUGCUUGAGUGUGAGAGAGGCUCGUGGAAUUGCAGGUGUAGCGGUGAAAUGCGUAGAUAUCUGCAGGAACACCCGUGGCGAAAGCGGUGAGCUGGAUCACUACUGACGCUGAAGAACGAAAGCUAGGGGAGCAAACAGGAUUAGAUACCCUGGUAGUCCACGCCAUAAACGAUGAGAACUAGACGUUGAGAGGGUAAGCCUCCCAGUGUCGUAGCUAACGCGCUAAGUUCUCCGCCUGGGGAGUACGGCCGCAAGGUUGAAACUCAAAGGAAUUGACG
rnacentral:rRNA from 1 species